CUCCAGUGUCCCCCGUGCAGCCCCCAGUGAGCCCGCGGUAUUUUCCUUAUAUGAUCAGGCCCCAUUGUGGGCGGCGUUGCUUGCCUGGAGCCUGAGAGGAUUAUGAAACGUGUCAGGCUACGUGGGGCCAGGGGACCUGGUG
ensembl:scaRNA